AUCGCCUCUGUUGGUGCUUUGUGGUGAGCCCAGCUGAAGGACAUGCUGAGCUUCCCCAUCUGAGUGAAUUGUUGUCAGUCCUGUUCCCAUAGGUCAAGUGUUCAGCUCAUUAAAAUGUUCCACCAUCACAAUUCAAUGACCUUGUGGGCAAUCUUUGCAGAGGCUAAUGACUUAUUUAACAUUGGCAUUGAUCUGCCAGAUAUCUGCUGGAAAAACAACACAAUGAUCUGCAAGCAAUCCAGGAAACUCUUGGAGUCCAUUGAUGGCAACUUCCUGCUUCAGAUAUUGGAUGCAUCCACCAGAGUUGAAGCAUUGCCAAACCUGGUGCUCACCAGUGUGAAAGAGGUCAUUAAGGAUGUUAAGACUUGAGGCAGCGUGGACUGCAGUGAACAUGCCCAAUCAAGUUCACAGUCUCUAGGAAUGUGAGCCUGGCAAAGAGUGGAGUCAGGAUCCUGAACUUCAGGUUGCUUAAGGAGUUGUUAGAUGAGAUCCCCUAGGAAACUAUCCUUAGGGAUAAAGAAACAGAACAGAGAUGGCAGAACUUUAAACAUGCCUUUUUGA